AGCAGCCGCGGUAAUUCCAGCUCCAAUAGCGUAUAUUAAAGUUGUUGCAGUUAAAAAGCUCGUAGUUGAAUUUCGGGGUUAGUAGGCUGGUCGUGCCACAGGUAUGCACUGGUCUUACUGACUUCUCCUUUCUGAAGAACUGUAAUGCCAUUAAUUUGGUGUUGCAGGGAAACAGGACUGUUACUUUGAAAAAAUUAGAGUGUUUAAAGCAGGCUAACGCUUGAAUACAUUAGCAUGGAAUAAUGAAAUAGGACGUUCGAUCCUAUUUUGUUGGUUUCUAGGAUUGACGUAAUGAUUAAUAGGGAUAGUUGGGGGCAUUAGUAUUCAAUUGUCAGAGGUGAAAUUCUUGGAUUUAUUGAAGACUAACUACUGCGAAAGCAUUUGCCAAGGAUGUUUUCAUUAAUCAAGAACGAAAGUUAGGGGAUCGAAGGCGAUCAGAUACCGUCGUAGUCUUAACCAUAAACUAUGCCGACUAGGGAUCGGAUGAUGUUAAUUUUUAAUGACUCAUUCGGCGCCUUAC
rnacentral:rRNA from 1 species